CAGCCAUCGUUUACUAGAAAAUCGUUAUCCUACUUGGAUAACUGUGGCAAUUCUAGAGCUAAUACAUGCGAAAAAGCCCAUUCCGAAAGGAUUGAGCGCAUUUAUUAGAAUAAAACCAAUAACGGGUCUAAACAACCCGUAAUUUGGUGAAUCUGAAUAACUUUGCCGAUCGUACGGUCUUGGUACCGACGACGUAUCUUUCAAGUGUCUGCCUUAUCAACUUUCGAUGGUACGCUAUACGCCUACCAUGGUAGUAACGGGUAACGGAGAAUAAGGGUUCGACUCCGGAGAGGGAGCCUGAGAAACGGCUACCACAUCCAAGGAAGGCAGCAGGCGCGCAAAUUACCCACUUCCAGAACGGAGAGGUAGUGACGAAAAAUAACGAGACAGUCCUCUUCGAGGUCUGUCAUCGGAAUGGGUACAAUUUAAAUCCUUUAACGAGGAUCAAUUGGAGGGCAAGUCUGGUGCCAGCAGCCGCGGUAAUUCCAGCUCCAAUAGCGUAUAUUAAAGUUGUUGCGGUUAAAACGCUCGUAGUUGGCUUUGCGGCCACAGAGAACGGUCCCCCGAAAGGGUGGUCACUGUUACUCCAAGCCUAUAUAUCUAGUUCGCUUUACGGUGCUCUUAACCGAGUGCCUAAAGUGACUGGAACGUUUACUUUGAAAAAAUUAGAGUGCUUAAAGCAGGCGAAAUCGUCUGAAUAAGGUGCAUGGAAUAAUGGAAUAGGAUCUCGGUUCUAUUUUAUUGGUUUUCGGAGCCAGAGAUAAUGAUUAAGAGGAACAGACGGGGGCAUUCGUAUUCCGGCGCUAGAGGUGAAAUUCUUGGACCGCCGG
rnacentral:rRNA from 1 species